CUCGCUGAUCCAUGGAUUUCUGUGUGACCAGAUUACACCUAUGGAGCUGCAGCCCCGACUACCACCAGCUUGCUCAUCCCUCUACUCACACAGUCACCCCUCCCCUCACUCUCA